AAAUGCAGUGCUUGCUUCCUAUCUGUGGUCCAUUGCAUAGCAGUGUGCUUGGGUGCUGUGUAAGACAAUUCCCCCCAACGCCUCCAAAAAACAGGACAUGGUCCACUGCAGGAGUUCAUAAUCUAGGAGUCCAGAGAGUCCAGGCUCAUCAUCCCUUCAGAAGAAAGAAUCUUCAGGCCUCUGCUCUUGUGAGAGUAAUUUCUCUUAACACCGACAGUGCAGCCUAUUCCAUGUGCUACUUUCUCUCACAACUUUGAGCAAGAAUGUUAGAUCUUUUGCUGGGGGCCUUCGGAAGCCGUGAGGGAGCAUAUCCUGACACCCACAUAGAAGACCUGGUACCUAUGUUUCCACAUCACAAAGCAGGCCAACAAGCACACAAGGCCGCAGACCAAAUUAAGAAUCAUCUGGAUGAGCAAGAACAGUUUGAAAGUGCCAGUGACGCUGGUACAGUCCGUCACAUCCCGGUAAACAAAGGUCCUGCUGAGCGUCUCCAA
rnacentral:antisense_RNA from 1 species